UUUGUAUGCAACCGCUUUACUUAGUGUGCUAAAGGGGCAAACACCAUACAUUGAUGUACUUAAUAAAAGUCAUUUAAUAAUGAUUCUAAUUUUAACAACUCUACAAGAGAUAAAACUAUUUAAUUGAUGUAAGGAGAUAAUGAUAUUUAUAAUAUUUUUUGAAGCAUAAUGUUAUUUAUACAUCAUAAAGUGAUAAACCUAUUUGUUACAUGUAAACAGAGAAAAUAUGUGUGAAAUUGUCAAGUUUGUUGUUAUGAUUGUCUUUCUUUCUGCAUUUUUUAUUUCAGCGAACAUAGAUUCGGUUUAUAGAUGUAACAGAGACGUUGAAUGUCGAAAUAAGUAUUGUCGCAGGCCUCGUGAACCAAGGUGUAUCAGACACAUAUGUACAUGUGUUGAAGUUGAAGAUGUUGGAUUAGAUUAUGUUUCCACAUACUUCAAUAUUUAAUGUAAGACCCAAAAGAGUACACAAAUGUCAUAUAUGCUAGAAUAUUUCGCGAGUUGUCAUUUUGAUAUUCAGCUGGUAACCAAUAAUUUAAAGUUUUAUCUUUUUUUUUUUUUUUUUUUAAUUUCAAUAAUCUUAUAGUUUGAUCUUGUACUAUAAAAUGAUUGUAUUGAAAUAAGGCAAACAAUAGUAUCAUUUAAAUUGUAUUUUUCUCUUUUUAAUUUUA